GAUGAACGCUGGCGGCGUGCCUAAUACAUGCAAGUCGAGCGAAUGGAUUGAGAGCUUGCUCUUAUGAAGUUAGCGGCGGACGGGUGAGUAACACGUGGGUAACCUGCCCAUAAGACUGGGAUAACUCCGGGAAACCGGGGCUAAUACCGGAUAACAUUUUGAACCGCAUGGUUCGAAAUUGAAAGGCGGCUUCGGCUGUCACUUAUGGAUGGACCCGCGUCGCAUUAGCUAGUUGGUGAGGUAACGGCUCACCAAGGCAACGAUGCGUAGCCGACCUGGGAGGGUGAUCGGCAACACUGGGACUGAGACACGGCCCAGACUCCGACGGGAGGCAGCAGUAGGGAAUCUUCCGCAAUGGACGAAAGUCUGACGGAGCAACGCCGCGUGAGUGAUGAAGGCUUUCGGGUCGUAAAACUCUGUUGUUAGGGAAGAACAAGUGCUAGUUGAAUAAGCUGGCACCUUGACGGUACCUAACCAGAAAGCCACGGCUAACUACGUGCCAGCAGCCGCAGUAA
rnacentral:rRNA from 1 species